ACUAUAUAUUAUAUAUAUGAGGUUGUGAAAUGAAAAUCACACAAGCGUCUCCUCACCCAGACAGACAGCCACAGCUCAGAUGUCUAAACAAGAGCUUGUAAGAGUGGGUCUUCCAUACAGACUUGAAAUUAUUCACACCACCUUAGAUCGGUGACCCACUGAAUAAACAUAAUCUGCUGUGUGACAACAAUGUUUGCCGACUCUUUCCAAGUGUCAAGACCCUCAGUAGCCGGUGCCUUAUCUCCAGUGUCUCAAUUAUUGGGUGUCAGUGGUGAUGUAUGGACCAGAUUCCCAUGGUUUAGACAGGGGCCGGCUAGCUGUUGUAGAGGUCACUGAUCAGGCCCUCUGGACUGAGGACCAGUGACCCCCCUCCAUGCAGACCCACUAUAAUCUACUGCAUUAGUUGCCCUGUAGAAGUCUCUAUCCGUAGCCCAGGCUGCAAGUGUGCGGCUUUUAUCAAGGGCUUAAGCAAAUAUACAGAGAACAAUGUGUCAGGGGUUAAAGGUGAUCCAAAAAUCUAUGACUGCGCUGCAUAGGUCAUUAAAUGAACCAAAAUUGGUAUUUAUGGUGAUAAUUCUCACCAAUUAUUUGGUUUCUUACCAAAUGAGCAUGGUUUUGCAUUCAAUUAUUAAUUGCAAACAUGAUUGAACAUAAGAUUAUAUGAAUGCAAUAAAUGCCUCGAGUUGUAGAUCCAAUGACGCACAUCUAUUGUCUAUAAGUAGCAGUCUGUUGAAAUCGGCAACAGUGUAAUCCGUCCGAUUGAUUAGUUAGCUUCUGUGCAUCAGAUAUUUGUGUCUGAGAGCUUCCAUAUUGACAGAGGGUAUUAAGUCUUUCGGUUAUCUGGCCAUGUCACGCCUGCUAAGCUCAUUAGCCUAGAUCCCAAUCAUCAGAAAGUCAAUAAUAGGCAAAAGAAAGAUUAAAAAGUAGCUGAAACGAGACUACUCUCUCCAUCAUUUCUCAUUCCUAUUCCUCAUGUGUCAGUGCUAAUAUGAUAUUACCCCACAAGGCAGCCUUUCAGAGUGAUGUUUGGGCAAAUCAAUAUCUGCGAAGACUUUAUAAACAAAUUACCAUUUCCUUGUGAUAUGCUUCUUAAUUACAGGGAACGUGUUAAUGUUAUACUAAACUGCAAGCAAGUUAAAGGUGAAGAUUUGCAACCUGUUGUGUGGACAUGGGAAGCAUAAUUCACUAACCUGAGGUGGUGAAAGCAUGUUCUCAUCUCUCAGUUUGCAGGCUGAGGUCCAUUGUCCCAAUCGUCCUGUUCUUUUUCUGCUGGCCUCCAGCACCUAUACGUGGCUAAGUGCAGAUGGGAAUCUAAGCUUUGGUGCACAAGGAGCAUCCAUCUGUAGGAAAAACACAUCUGAGAUUUCUCUAAUGCUCUCACACACAUUUACCUACAGUAGUUUACUAAACGAGGAUAUAACAUAGAUUAAUCGUAAAUGCUACUGACUAACCAUAAUCCACACCCUAACCUUUGACUUUGAAAAAAAAUCUAAACAUCUAUAAAUUUGUAUUGCUUCAUAUAAAGCUAAUAUAUAAAGCACUUUCCAAAAAAGAAAAACACUUGCAUUUUUAAAACACAUAAAGCUUCUUUGCUUUGCAAAGCAACAACAUAAACCAACAUUACUGCACAUGCGCACUUUUGUGGCCCGAAUUUAACUUCUGGUACACAUCCGCAAAGAAUCCCUGCAUAUUAUUUCUGAUAACAAGCAAAAUAAAACAAGUCAAUUACUUUUUGGCUA